rnacentral:rRNA from 1 species
AAACAGAUGCUAAUACCGUAUAACAGAGAAAACCGCCUGGUUUUCUUUUAAAAGAUGGCUCUGCUAUCACUUCUGGAUGGACCCGCGGCGCAUUAGCUAGUUGGUGAGGUAACGGCUCACCAAGGCGAUGAUGCGUAGCCGACCUGAGAGGGUAAUCGGCCACAUUGGGACUGAGACACGGCCCAGACUCCUACGGGAGGCAGCAGUAGGGAAUCUUCCACAAUGGACGCAAGUCUGAUGGAGCAACGCCGCGUGAGUGAAGAAGGGUUUCGGCUCGUAAAGCUCUGUUGUUAAAGAAGAACGUGGGUGAGAGUAACUGUUCACCCAGUGACGGUAUUUAACCAGAAAGCCACGGCUAACUACGUGCCAGCAGCCGCGGUAAUACGUAGGUGGCAAGCGUUAUCCGGAUUUAUUGGGCGUAAAGCGAGCGCAGGCGGUCUUUUAAGUCUAAUGUGAAAGCCUUCGGCUCAACCGAAGAAGUGCAUUGGAAACUGGGAGACUUGAGUGCAGAAGAGGACAGUGGAACUCCAUGUGUAGCGGUGAAAUGCGUAGAUAUAUGGAAGAACACCAGUGGCGAAGGCGGCUGUCUGGUCUGUAACUGACGCUGAGGCUCGAAAGCAUGGGUAGCGAACAGGAUUAGAUACCCUGGUAGUCCAUGCCGUAAACGAUGAUUACUAAGUGUUGGAGGGUUUCCGCCCUUCAGUGCUGCAGCUAACGCAUUAAGUAAUCCGCCUGGGGAGUACGACCGCAAGGUUGAAACUCAAAAGAAUUGACGGGGGCCCGCACAAGCGGUGGAGCAUGUGGUUUAAUUCGAAGCUACGCGAAGAACCUUACCAGGUCUUGACAUCUUCUGCCAACCUAAGAGAUUAGGCGUUCCCUUCGGGGACAGAAUGACAGGUGGUGCAUGGUUGUCGUCAGCUCGUGUCGUGAGAUGUUGGGUUAAGUCCCGCAACGAGCGCAACCCUUAUUACUAGUUGCCAGCAUUCAGUUGGGCACUCUAGUGAGACUGCCGGUGACAAACCGGAGGAAGGUGGGGACGACGUCAAAUCAUCAUGCCCCUUAUGACCUGGGCUACACACGUGCUACAAUGGAUGGUACAACGAGUCGCGAAACCGCGAGGUUUAGCUAAUCUCUUAAAACCAUUUUCAGUUCGGACUGUAGGUUGCAACU